UACGUAGGGAGCGAGCGUUAUCCGGAUUUAUUGGGCGUAAAGGGUGCGCAGACGGUUUACUAAGUCUAGAAUCAAAUCUUGAGGCUUAACCUCAUUCCGUUCUAGAAACUGGUAGACUCGAGUAUGGUAGAGGCAAAUGGAAUUCCUAGUGUAGCGGUGGAAUGCGUAGAUAUUAGGAGGAACACCAGUGGCGAAGGCGAUUUGCUGGGCCAUUACUGACGUUCAGGCACGAAAGCGUGGGGAGCAAAUA
rnacentral:rRNA from 1 species